ensembl:lncRNA
CGCGGGACGCUCCGGCUUCGGGGAUCCCGCUGCCCCCGUCCUUUCCCCUCCAGAACCCAAGAAAAACGAGAAGAGAAAGACGCCGAGGCGUGGAGGAGAAAUGGAGAGAAAAGGCAAGACUUACUUGGCGGCCGAAGGCUCAGCCAGACUCCCGCUUCGGACUCGGCAGGUGUCUGGCACCGCGGGCCCAGGCGGAAGGCGCUGGCGCAGCUCCGAGCCGGGCUCCACUUGAGCGAGGACGGAAACUCCCCUCGCCACCCGGCCCCGCGCGGCGCUCCCCGCUGUCACGGCACCGAGCGACGCAGGCACGCUCCCCACUGCCGCCUCUGUCCUGGUGGGUCUGUCUGCCCUCGUCUCCGGGUUCGGCUGCUCCCCCACAGACCACACCCUGUCACCUCAGCGGCCCUCCACUCCUUCCUCUUUGACACUUCCACCGGUUACUCCUCUGUCUGCGUCCUCCCACCCCCUCAGCCCACGUGCUUCUGCCGCUCCCUCGGCUCUAAACUUCCCCUGCCUAAGCCCCGCACCCCCCAACCCCUGCUCUGAAAACCCGAGGUCUCCAAGCACGGUGAAGGUCCUGGGGUAGCAUAGCAGCCGGCUGACCUUUAGGUCAUCGACCACAUCCCCCCCCCCCCCCCAACCACUUAAGUAGGCAGAACCCGUUAUUUUGGUUUUGUUAAUAAGAUGGCUUAAUAUUGUGUAUUAUAUAUAAGGAUGUGUAUUUUUAAUAUGCCAUGUAUCACUCUUAAUAACAUUUAUUACUGCGUGUCACUUAGGAAACAUCUCACAGCUAUGCAUUGACAUUUGGGGCUGGCCUAUCAGUCCAGAUUUUUCCAUAUGCAAACAGCUCAGCAAAAUUCCUGAAAAACCAUCUUUUGCCCAGUCCAUUUUUGUUAAUGCCACUUUCUACUGAGAGCCCCCUCUCCUUUUUUGUUGUUUGUUGUUGUUAUAGAAAUAUUCUGAUACUCACUUUUCUCUGUUCCUGCAGACAAAUUUAAAGACUUCUCUCUAAGGGCUCCCCACAGCACUGUUCAUAUUGCAAUGAUCAUUCUUUCUACCCACACCAUAUGUGGUAUUCUCUCUUCCUGUGACUGCCUCCACGACUGGUCGGUAAGUUUCUCCAGGCAGAAGUUUGUCACACUCUAACCUUAUCAGCAGCAUCUAAUGUAAUCCCCAGUACGUACUACAUGCUCAAAAAACUGUUCAAGGAAUGAAUGCCCUUUAAAUAUGAUGCCAGCGCUGCUUGUCUGCAUCUCAACUAAUAGGUCAUGGAGAAAACUAAUACCUUUUUACAUUUGGCUAGGUGAUUUCUCAUACAUUCUUUAAUGUAAUCCUUCAAACAAGUCUUGGUAGGUUUUACCCACUUUUUUAACUUGGUGAAUGUCAUUAAGUUCAAAACUCCUAAACUCAGAGCUGGGCUCCAAGUUCCUCCAGACUAGCACAAGCUGAAUGGGGUUGGCUUUCUUAUCACACUACCAGCCAGCCCUGACUGCCCAAUGCUACAUGAUGAAGUUAUCUACCAUGGAAGAGCCUGUCCAAACAGCUCUUUUUUCCAAAGUAGGAUUUUUCCCUUCCUUUGUCCUCUUUUGUAACUCUUGAGCCUCUUAAUUCAGAGUUCUAAAAACAAACAAAACAACAGCAACAAUGAAAACAUCUCUAAACUCAGACCUUUUAUAAGCACUUAUUGUCUUAACUCUUACACUUAAAAAAAAAAGUUACUAUUUUUCCCCAUGUAUUUUGACUCCGUUAUCCUGUAUCUUACACAGGGAUUUAUUUCUCUGGCUCCUCCAUUGAAAUAAAUAGCAGCUAACCUUAAGUUAGAGACA